rnacentral:tRNA from 3 species
GCCGCCUUAGCUCAGUUGGCAGAGCAGUUCACUUGUAAUGAUCAGGUCAUCGGUUCGAUUCCGAUAGGCGGCUCCA